UGGGGAAUAUUGCACAAUGGGCGCAAGCCUGAUGCAGCCAUGCCGCGUGUAUGAAGAAGGCCUUCGGGUUGUAAAGUACUUUCAGUCGGGAGGAAGGUGGUAAGGUUAAUAACCUUAUCCAUUGACGUUACCGACAGAAGAAGCACCGGCUAACUCCGUGCCAGCAGCCGCGGUAAUACGGAGGGUGCAAGCGUUAAUCGGAAUUACUGGGCGUAAAGCGCACGCAGGCGGUUGAUUGAGUCAGAUGUGAAAUCCCCGGGCUUAACCCGGGAAUUGCACCUGGUACUGGUCAGCUAGAGUCUUGUAGAGGGGGGUAGAAUUCCAUGUGUAGCGGUGAAAUGCGUAGAGAUGUGGAGGAAUACCGGUGGCGAAGGCGGCCCCCUGGACAAAGACUGACGCUCAGGUGCGAAAGCGUGGGGAGCAAACAGG
rnacentral:rRNA from 1 species